AGCGGGGUAGGGUAGCCUGGUAGCCUGCGGGGCUCAUAACCCCGAGGUCCUGGGUUCAAAUCCCAGCCCCGCUACCA
rnacentral:tRNA from 2 species